UCAUCGCUUUAAGUCUCCUCAUACCUGAAGUUCUCUAAUUUUCCAGUUACUUUCACAGGUUAUAAAGAGUAGUGCUUGCUUCUCCUUCUCUCCUACCAAGCUUUUGUUUUGAUGAAGAUUGUAGAUAAAGGAACAAAACGGCUACACAAGAACAUUCAUCACUCUGCCUUCCCACCAAACCAUCCCAUCAUACAAAACAAAGAAGAUUAUGAUGUGAGCACGGCAACCUGAUAUAGCAAUCGGCUCACAUGCUUUUUUGCAAAUAUCAUGAUCCAAUUUUACAAUAAGGUUAGUGAUGUCUUUUUUAAAUUGUUCGUAUAUUAAUAUAUUUUAUUCAUUUACAUUCAUAGGUCUACAUACACAUGAAUGUCAAUAUUUCAAAACAUUCAGGUGUAAGAGAUCAAAGUUGUGAUGAUUUUCUUGCGUCUUUUUCUUUAGUAUGUAAGUAAUAUUUUUAGGUUUCUUUUGUGUGUUUGAUUGUUUUGGUGAUUAUGAGUUUAUUAAUGAUUUACUGAUAUUUAGGUAAGUGUAUGAUUUUUUUUAUGUUGUUGAACCGUUCUUAGGUAUUGUUCUUAGGUACUGUAUGCACGUGUAAACCGUAACAAAAUGACAG
rnacentral:lncRNA from 1 species